rnacentral:rRNA from 1 species
GAUGAACGCUGGCGGCGUGCUUAACACAUGCAAGUCGAACGGAAAGGCCCAAGCUUGCUUGGGUCCUCGAGUGGCGAACGGGUGAGUAACACGUGGGUGAUCUGCCCUGCACUUCGGGAUAAGCCUGGGAAACUGGGUCUAAUACCGGAUAGGACGAUGGUUUGGAUGCCAUUGUGGAAAGGUUUUUCGGUGUGGGAUGAGCUCGCGGCCUAUCAGCUUGUUGGUGGGGUAUUGGCCUACCAAGGCGUCGCCGGGUAGCCGGCCUGAGAGGGUGUACGGCCGCAUUAGGACAGAGAUGCGGCCCAGACUCCUACGGGAGGGAGCAGUGGGGAAUAUUGCACAAUGGGCGCAAGCCUGAUGCAGCGACGCCGCGGGGGGGAUGACGGCCUUCGGGUUGUAAACUCCUUUCGCUAGGGACGAAGCGUUUUUGUGACGGUACCUGGAGAAGAAGCACCGGCUAACUACGUG